CAGUAGCCACGGUAAUACGGAGGGUGCAAGCGUUAAUCGGAAUUACUGGGCGUAAAGCGUGCGUAGGCGGUUCGUUAAGUCUGUUGUGAAAUCCCCGGGCUCAACCUGGGAACUGCAUUUGUGACUGGCAAGCUAGAGUGUGGCAGAGGGGGGUGGAAUUCCGCGUGUAGCAGUGAAAUGCGUAGAUAUGCGGAGGAACACCGAUGGCGAAGGCAGCCCCCUGGGCCAACACUGACGCUCAUGCACGAAAGCGUGGGGAGCAAACAGGAUUAGAUACCCCGGUAGUCCCUGUCUCUUAUAC
rnacentral:rRNA from 1 species